CAGUUAUUAUGAUAAAUUACCUCGCACUUACUGUGUACAGAACAUUUAGUCAAUGCGUAUGCCCCAAGGUUGCUCAAGCACUAUUUGCAGCCGUCUGUUUGCAGAACCUGGUUUGAAAAUUAACGGGAAUUUACCCAGGAGGAGGCAAAACAAGAAGCAGCAUCUUGAGUCACGUGUUUUGGAUGAGAGCACCUGCUGUGCGUUCUCUCAAACUCUUAGCCGUGGCUGCGAUGAUAAACACAGCCGUGAAUAUGAUCGGGCGUUCCAAAGAGGGAGAGAGAGAAAACAAACCAAUGAUUAGAUUUGUUGGAAAAUGCCUUCCUUUACAGGGCAAUAAAAAGCUGUUAUAUGGCCACAUAAUCUCUAGGCACUUUUACGCAGUCUGUACUUUGGUCACUGAGGAUGUAAGCGUCUACCAUUUAGUAGUAAAAAAAAAACACACAGACAUUUACAGACAGUCACAAUCACGGCACGGAAUAAUGUCUCUCCAGCUAAGUAUCCUAGCCUUAGUGCUGGUGGCUGUUUCUGUCUGUCAAGCACAGACUGGCAGACUGACCGGCGGCACGACCGGCGACGGGGGGGCCAUGAAGCCCUGGCUGGUGGGCAUGGCCGCCGUGGUCGGCUUCCUCUUCAUCGUCUUCACCCUGCUCAUCAUCAAGAGGCUGCUGCGGAAGGACAGAGGAGAAGAGGAAAGUUUGUGUGACAAUUGCUCAGAAAAGGGAAUUGAAGAGGCACCUGAAAUCAAACAGACCAACCUAUAGGGUGAACGGGAAAUGGGAAAGAGAGUCACAGAUUGUACCGUAAAGGCUUCUCAGACAAUUGCAUAAGCAUGUAUUUGAUCUACUGCAAGUGCAACCAUCUUUUUCCUUGGUCAACUGCAUCACCAGUAAACAAAUUCGCCCAAAGGAAAGCACAUGCUUUCACUCAACAGCAGAAAUAUCUAUAAAUGAGCAACAAAUCUUGACCGGGAGUGCAGUAUGUAUUUAUACGUAUGCGAAAGGAUCGACUGAAAAAUAACAUUAUGACGAUUGCCUUUACCACCACCAGAGGGAGCCAGAUGCUUAGCUGCUGCUUCUGAUGAAGAACCACGUCAUUAUCAUGCAUCAAUAUAUGAUGUUACUUUUAGAGAUGGGCUACACUGGGAUCAUGUUUCCAGUUUCCAUUAUGCUAUUAUAUCCUUAGCGUUGUUGUGUUAUUUUGCCCACAUUGUUUCCAAAUAAAGCAUCGCUUUGCCAACAAAAGCUUUCUGAUAACAUUUAAAGCACUGUUUAAAUUAAGGGAAAUGGAAGAUAGACAAUAGAAGAGGAGUGUCCAAGCUUAACCAAAAAGGGUCAGUGUGGAUGCAGGUUUCUGUUUUAGCCUAGCACUAAGACAUCUGAUUGUACUUAUCAAGGUCUUGGUUGAAGACCAGGAUUAGUUAAUUUGUUGAAUGGGGUGUUGUAAUGCUCGGGUGAAAAAAAGCCUGCACCCAUGACGGGCAUUUUCAGACAGACUACUUAAAAAUGAAUGGAAGUCAGCAGGUAUUUGACAGGGGAAAUGCAGGAAUGGCAGUGAAUUGGUUCAGACCAGUAAUGGUGAUGAUGAUGAUGAUAAUGGUGACGAUGAUAAUGAGGGCGAUUAUUCAGUUCUUUUUCUACCCAAUCAGAGAUUUGUAAAGGUAGUAAGAUGGAGACAUCACCAUUUCUUGGCGCUGAGUGAUCAGUCACUACAUGGUAAUUGAAAGCAGUGGAGUUCUAGAACACUGACUUGGCAGUGUUUUUGAAAAAAAAAAAAAAAAAAAACAUUCCCCCCCAAAAACUCUUCAAAGGGUUGGUCAAUUAAGUACAGAAUAACAAUGGAAAACAGCAGAUCCUAUAGCUCCACAGAACUAGGGUUUGGGGAGCCCUGGGAUACUCUUGGCCUAAAUGUGAAGGGCAGGCUCUUGUAUGUUUUUAUUUUUGCCGUUGGAUAUUUUUCUGAAUGAAUCUACAUUAAGUACCUUGCACAAAGGUACAUGGCAAUGCCCCUGCUGGGAAUCAAACCUGCAACCUUGGACUCAAAAGCCCAGUUUCCUACAAAAAUUCAAAAAUUCAAAGGUCAUUUUAGAUCACUCAUAUCAACACACAUUGAAUGGCCUUGUCCACAAUUUUUCUUUAACUUUCUUAAUUUAAUUUGAGAGCACUUAAAGCGGUAUUCAGCUGAAUUUUGGAAUGUAUGGCCAAGAUCUUUUUUUUUUCCCCGAAGCUGAUUGCGUGUUUAAAUUAUGCUGUGAAAAAGAAUAACAGUGGUUAAAAGGCGGUUGCCAAUUUUUUAUCUGACUCUUACGCUGAUUUACAGGACCACCCAGGGGAAAAAAAAAAGCCCACAUUAAUUUCGCGAAUAGGUACACUGGCGGCAACCCGCAGAAACAAACCUUCUGUGAAAUCUCUUUCCCUCCUGUCGCAGUUUCACAGCGCUGUCAUCUCGGGUUCGACACAGAAGAGCAGCAUCUGAAAUCGGAGCCAAAGCGAAGAACGGCAGAACCUAUAAACUAUCCACAAGGCCGUACGGACAGCCUUGACCACCACGUGGCAGAACCAGCAGUAUUUAAGCCACAGUUACCCACGCUACAUUCAGCGCAACACCACACGGAUUUUCAUCAAGUUACAAUUUUUUUUUUUUUUUUUAUCAAGUUCGGUUUCAAUUCAGGCCCGAUUCUCAUUCUGACUUUUUACAAUUUUACCUUCGGGAGCACAGAAGUUCAUCAUUAUCCUGAAGUAGAUCUGGUGGCUCGUCAGAUUAUCUGUGGCAGCAGCACUGUAAACCUAGAGAUUUAAAGGCCCCGGUGAAAGACUGAGCAUGAUUUAUUGUCAUCAGUAAUCUAGCUGUCUGGCCUCCAUUUUCCCACAAUGCACAUCAGUGUUUCUGCAGCUGCUGAUGGGGGUUUAAAAAAAAAAAAAGAUUUUUCAAGAUUAUUUUCAAGCAGGAACGUCACAGCCUCCGGUUCCCCAGCUGAACUGAUUUCUCAAUUUGUCUUUUCUCGAUACUUAAUGCACCAGCAUGCGAUCCCUCCGCUCUCAUUUUGUCACCUAAUUGGUCUUGUGCAACAGAAAGAGGAAUUAAAGUCUUUGUUGGGUCAUCUGG